GCAUAUCAAUAAGCGGAGGAAGAGAAACCAACAGGGAUUACCUCAGUAACGGCGAGCGACGCGGUAAAAGCUCAAAAUUUGAAAUCUGGCUCUUUUAGAGUCCGAAUUGUAAUUUGUAGAAGAUGCUUCGGGUGUGGUUCCGGUCUAAGUUCCUUGGAACAGGACGUCAUAGAGGGUGAGAAUCCCGUAUGUGACUGGAUACCUAUGCUCAUGUGAAGCUCUUUCGACGAGUCGAGUUGUUUGGGAAUGCAGCUCAAAAUGGGAGGUAUAUUUCUUCUAAAGCUAAAUAUUGGCCAGAGACCGAUAGCGCACAAGUAGAGUGAUCGAAAGAUGAAAAGCACUUUGGAAAGAGAGUUAAACAGUACGUGAAAUUGUUGAAAGGGAAGCGCUUGCAAUCAGACUUGCACUUGGUGUUCAUCAGGGUCUCGUACCCUGUGUACUUCAUCAAGUUCAGGCCAGCAUCAGUUUGAGUGGUUAGAUAAAGGCUUAGAGAAUGUGGCCCUCUUCGGGGGGUGUUAUAGCUCUAGGUGCAAUGUAGCCUACUUGGACUGAGGACCGCGCUUCGGCUAGGAUGCUGGCGUAAUGGUUGUAAGCGACCCGUCUUGAAACACGGACCAAGGAGUGUACCUAAUAUGCGAGUGUUUGGGUGUUAAACCCAUACGCGUAAUGAAAGUGAACGCUGGUGAGAACCCUUAAGGGUGCAUCAUCGACCGAUCUUGAUGUCUUCGGAUGGAUUUGAGUAAGAGCAUAUUGGGUGCGACCCGAAAGAUGGUGAUCUAUACGUGAAUAGGGUGAAGCCAGAGGAAACUCUGGUGGAGGCUCGCAGCGCGUUCUGACGUGCAAAUUGGAUCGUCAAAUUUGCGUAUAGGGGGCGAAAGACUAAUCGGAACCAUCUAGUAGGCUGGUUCCCUGCCCGAAG
rnacentral:rRNA from 1 species